GGGGCCGUAGCUCAGAGGGAGAGCACCUGCCUUGCAAGCAGGGGGUCAGCGGUUCGAAUCCGCUCGGCUCCACCA
rnacentral:tRNA from 5 species